AGGUUCAAGCAAUUCUCCUGCCUCAGCCUCCCUAGUAGCUGGGAUUAUAGGACAAGAAUGAGGGAGAGAUUUGACCCGGAAUAAAGAAGCAGAAGGGUGCAGCUUCACGCCAUGUGACACAGGCCCCACAGCGACACUCCUCUCAAGGCUCAAAAUCAGGACAAGAAUGAGGAAGAGAUUUAACCUAGAAUCAAAGAAGUUGCAGCUUCACACCACAUGACUCGGGCCACACAGCCAUGUUCCUCUCAAGGCGCAAAAUGAUCUCGGCUUUCAACAGCUUUAGGUCUGAAUUAUUUAAUUUCACAGGGACUUUAUACCAAGGUUUUCCACAUUGCACAAAGAUCACUACACCUUCCAAAACCCUGCUCAGGAUGUGUUAGUCACUCCUUCAAAAUAGGAACUAGAAAUAAAAAGCAUUGAGACUGUUCUGUUGACAAUUGCUUUACUUCUUUUUAUCUUCAUUAGCAGGCAUUAGGCAACCGUAACCAACCUUCUAGGCAGUUGUCAAUGAUCACUGUCAUAUUAAAGUGCAUGUUAUAUAUUAUAAAUUUCCUUCAUUUUAUUUCUCCUUUAUCUUACACUUACAGCGUUAUGUUGAUUUUUAAACUAUAUGGAAAGUGAAGUUACAUGAGCUAUAAAUUCCCCAUUACAUGAUGAAGCCACAUUACAAAAGACUCGCUGUAUUAGAAGAGAGCAGUGGAAAGUCUUGCUUAAAAUCUUAGUGCUAAAAUUCUCACUAAAAUGUAAGUCACUGAUAGUAUCCCUUUGCCUCAGAAUAACCUGUGUUGAGAGACAUAGAAAUAAGAGGGGUAAGUUUGGGGGUUGCACAAACAUUGCUUGCUGAAGUUUUACAUCCUUCCCUGAGCCUCAGGGAUGGAGUUGGGGCCAUGCCAGGUGGCUUUCUGGAUAUCAUCACUUCUUCCUCCCAGAAGCUGCAUUGGAUGUGUGUGCAUGCAUAUGUAUGUGUGAUGCAUGUGUGUGGUGUGUGGAGA